UCGCCGUCAGAGGGGUCCCUUCUGCUCAAGGAGCCUGCCACCCGGCCACAAGCACUGAAGCUCGGCCCUCCUCGGGAGAAAACUGUCCCUCAACCCUCCAAGGCCACGGGAGGGGCCCCAGGGGCUCCAUGACGCCACUCAUACUUACUGUCACCCUAGAAAGAUGGAAGCUAGUGAAAACCGAAACUAGCCACAUCUCUGCCUGCCCAAGGCAAAAGAACCCACAGGCAAAUCAUCGUGAUGGGAACCAAAACUACCCCCUCAAGCAACGACGACUGCCCUGAGCCAGCAAGACCCCACGUGACCUCAAGACAACAAUGACCUGACCUUCGCUUUCCACCUGCGGUACUCUCUGACCUCUGUCCCACACUUUCCUUACAAAACCCAGAAGUAUUUUCGGCACUUUGGAGGUUGUAUUUCAGAGGGUCCACUGUCUUCCCGGUGUUGCCCUUCCCUGAAAUAAAUUCCUUCCUUGUUCCGCCA